rnacentral:piRNA from 1 species
UCACUACAAAGAUUUUGAAGUCCCUCAUUCU